rnacentral:lncRNA from 1 species
UCUUCCACAGGCAUCGCCCUCUCGCUCUCUUCUUCAUUCCUUCUUCCUUCUCACCAAGCUUCACCACCACCGCACAGCCCCGCCACCACCGGUGCCUCCUGUUUCGCUGCUUUCCGGUGAUCAUGUCGCCGUCCUCCUCACUCCUCUACAUUUCUUUCUCACUUUUUUCUCUCUCCUCUCCGUUGCUUACCAGCCCUAGCUACCCCCUCCUCGUUUCUCUCCCAAUCGCAUCCAAUCCCGCCCUUGUCUUCUCUUCUCGUCUCGUCUCUUCUCUUCUCCCAUUUUCUGUUGUUUCCUUUGCUAAAAUCCCUAACAGUCUCUCUCUCUCUCUCUCUCGAGAUUUCUCCUCCUUCUGUAAGAAGAGGUAACCACCACUUUGGGCGAGAAGAGAUCCGAUUCGAGGCACUGGCUUCUAGCUACUGGUGUGAUUGAGAUAAUUGUUAGCUCUGUUGCUAUAUUAUUUGAUGGAUUAUUGGUUUUAGUGUAGAUUUGGGGAAAAGCUAGGUCUAGGUCUAGCUCCAUGGAGUUUCCGACGACAUGGCCUACAGGUCCUACACCUUUGGAGCCCUCAUGUUCAAAGAUUCUUCUGAUGGAUUUUUUUUUAUUAUUAUUAUUGUGGGAAAGCCUGGAUAUAAAAUCGAUAGGUUCCAUCAGGAUUUAGGACCACUGAUUUUGCCAAAAGUAAUCAUAAAUUAGCUCUCAUAUUUAUUGAAAAUAUUUUUCACUAAAUUUGACAAUUUCGUUAAUUUUAUAUCAUACAUGGAAUUUUGGAAGUUAAUUGGAUUAAGGGUUGAUGCAGAUUUUGAUGAGGCACUUACACCUGUUAAAGGGAUAAAGAGGCUAUGGUCUGAUUUGUAAAUUUAUUUAUUGUAGUUGUCAGGUAUUACAGAGGAUUUGGCUUGAAUGGAGAGAUUUGUUGGAGUAACCUCUACCCUACUGGAAUUGCGACUCCAUGUUUUAAAAAACAUGGAGUCUCGAAUACUCAGUAUAAAUUUUCUCUGUCCUCUUAUCCGAUAUUUUCUAUUCAUAACCUCCACCUCCUGAGAACGGAAGCGAGAAGAUCCAGUUCGUUGGCUGUCUUGAAUUAGCAAAGGUCAGGAUUAGACUUUCUCCCUCAGGAGCAUUCUCGGAUAUGGCCGGAGAGAUGGAGGUUGGAGACUUGUUUGUGCCUGCCGUUAUUGGUAGGGAGACGCACCACUACCUUCCUGGGUUUUUAUCUCUGGGGA